rnacentral:lncRNA from 1 species
UUUUUUUUUUUUUUUUUUGGGUGCAAGAACAACUUAGAGGAGGACCAAAUACUUUGAAUGCCUCCAAAUUCCACCCCAUUGGACUAAGCAUGUCUUCUUGGCCGGUGAAAAAUUCAGAAUUGGUUACGACCGAGAAAGGACAAGUCUUCUCCUGCUUCAGGCCAAAUCACAGCCACAGUUCAAAUCUCUUCUAAUCUACCUGUUUGAAUAUUGUGACAUUUAUCUAACGGAUUUGUGGGAAAACAUCUACUUAGGUCGUUCGGAAAUUGACCCCGUGUUCGACCAUCUAUCUGUUCAUGAGUCAUGAUGAUGAUCACCUCGAUCAUCUUAGCCCUUCUUUGGCUGAUUUUAACCUUUUUUUUUUAUUUUUAUAAAUGUCAUGGAGAUUGACCCGUGUUCAAAGAUGCUCAUGCUACGUCUCAAAAUUACGGGUCAAUUUUGAUCAAUCCCGGUGGUUCUUUUUUCUUUUUGGGGGGGGGGGGGGUUUGGGGUGUCACCUUCAUUGAAAUUCUUUUCGUCUUUGCUUGUCAAAAUUCAGAUCAACCCAGAAAUUCCCCCGUAAGUGUCUGGAAAAGAACGUGCAAAUACAUCCCAGCGAAACAUUAAUAUAAGAAUGCUAGACAAACACACUAGCACCAAAAAAAAAAAAAAAAAACUUAGGAAAAGGGGAUAUAUAUACCUUUUCUCUUCUUGAUAAUGAAGGAUUUCUAUUGAGAAAUAGCCGCGUUGUGGCUACUGUAGCUAUAAAAUAAAAAAGAAAACAAGGCACUGACUUAAAGAAGACGAUGAAUGUCACCAGACAAUGGUCCAAGUCAUGCUCCAGCUAUCUGUUAUUUUCCCAAAUGAAGCAAAAAGGAAAGGUGGAUUUUUGUGUAGAGCGGUCCAACAUCUUUUUUCUUUAAGCAAAAAGCGAAACGCAUGCAGAACUCUUUAUGCUUCAUUCUAUGUUUUCUACAAACUUAUUCCCCCGCUUCAAUUGUGCACCACCAACCUUAGGCUCUCAAGGUAAAUAUGGUGAUAUGUUUUCUAAAUUUUCAAAUAAACUCAACAUAUUUGCUUUUAUUUCCUUUUCAGUCAAAUGACUUUUGUUUUAAAAGAAUUACGUAGCCAAGACAAAAACAUUCUCACUAAAUAAUUAUGAUCAAAAUUUUUUUUUUUAUACAGUGACAGUAUAUACACUAUCAUUAUUAGGUGACAAUUAAUCUAAAUCUGAAUUUGAAGUUUAAAUUUUACAUGUACGUCGUCAUAUGUUCAAUAAUGAUAGUGUAUGCAGUGUCAAUAUAUUUAAGAUUAAGUUGAAUAAUUAACUAAUCCAAAACAAGGUGUAUCUGUGACUAUAUAUGAGACCAUGACUCUUAGGGGCUGCUUGGCAAAUGGGUCUAAAGGGUAGGAAUGGGUAUCAAAACUAAUGAUACCCUUAUUUAUUGUUUGGUAGACUACUAUGUCAAUUAUUCAAUGGGAAUCAAAGUGUUAGAUCUUUCUCCCUAUGAUUCCCUACUUGAGCUUCAAAUUAUUUAGGUCUUUGAUAUAACGAAAACUCAUUUAACUUUCAAAACCAAACAAGGAAGAGAGAAUUACCGAACUCACACUCAUACUGGAAUUUAUAAUUCUCAUUCCAAUUUGGAUCCAGAUUCCGAAAUUUGAACCAACAGCUUCUUAAUGUAUGAAUUGCCAUAACGAUCACACGUGGAACUGCAAACACGAGCUUUCACACCUGUGCUCGCAUUUGCUCGUAAUAUUUGAAUCGAAUCCGCAUUGGGAAGUUGGAAUCAAAUCCUUGCCGAAACCUGAAUUCGAACAAGUCCUUGUGUGAAAAAGGGAUGGGAAUUAGAAUUAACAGAGAUAAACUUUUCCUAGAAAAGUAAUGCGUACUUGUAUUCUGCACAUCAUUUCUUCUUCAUUGCUUUGCUAUAAGCUUCUAAUUCCUCGUCCGUCCAGUCUUAAACUCUGCACCUCUCUUUUUCCCUUCUCAAAUCUUAGCUAUCAUUUACUUAGUGUAGUAUUUGUCCCAUUGAUUUUUUUUUUUUUGCCAAUUGUGAACACCUACCGCACCUCUAUUCUAAUCUAUUUAGAGGAAAAUUCAACCGGAUUAAAAGAGGUUAGAGAACCUCUAAAUCAAAAGAAUGUACUAUUACACACCUGCAUCCUUUUGAAUCUGUACCUUAUACACGAUUAGCUCAUCUAAGGCGAGUUGGUUGUUUCAUUGAGAUUAAAGGUUCUGAUUUUUGAACUUGGUUACAUGGCAAUACGGAGUCAAAUCAGUCAAUUUAAUUGGAUGCUGGAGGGAUUGUGCCGCAAGAGCACAUUAUAUUAAUGGCAUGUCCAGCCUCCCAGUCUAAGUACCAGGGAUAAACUGGGUUUGUUUGGAUAGAGUAUUAUUCGAAAUAUUAUUUGGAAUAAUUACUGUAACACUUUUUGUGAUGCGAUGAAUGUGAGAUAAAAAGAUGAUUGGAAAUAUAAAAAGGUGGGUUGAAAAAUGUGUUUAUGAUACAAGCGAAAUAUUAUUUGGAGAAAUCUGCUAUCGAAACACUCCCAUGUUUCUUCUUCUUUUUUUUUUUUUCCUAGAAUGACUCUAAAUACACGAAUACUACCACGUGACAUUUAAUCACCCCAUAUAUUAUAUAUUAUAUAAUAAUAUAUAGCCCCAUGCCCAUUCUAUUGCACUUUGCGCUUCUUCGUAGCUGUAGUCAAUACAUCUAGCUCCAAAAAUGACAUGUGACGUUCAACCUCUUACGGCGGUGGGGACACCAAAUACACUGCAUCGAGUAUAUGUGUGGGGACAGAGAUGGAGCCCACGUCGAAAUAUCAAAUACGGAGGCAGCCUACCCUCAGAAGAUAAAGAGGGAGCAUAGAGCAGCAAUGCACAUACACAUAUAAGAUUCAGAGCUGUUUCGUGGUCCAUUGUUUCUGCUAUAGCUUGCUGACCUCAAGAACGUUCGUUGGUGGAGUCUCAAUCUUAAAUCCGGAACUUCAAUUCCAUAAUUAAUCGGAGGGCCAGCUAAAGAAGCUCGAAAUGAUGACUCGAUAAUGCAUUUCUUUUUGUUUUACAAGUUAAAAUCGAGAGCCUGCAGUAACCUUUUUCUUUAUGAUGAAUCGGGAAUUUUGUUUUCUGCUAGCCUAUAAUACGACGGAAAAGCGGAACAAGCAGAGUGAGGGCGGAGGGGCCGUGUACGGAACUUCGCGGACGUCAAGAUGGGUACGACUUCUUUUGGCCACUAACCUGUGCAACUAAAGUAGUACCCACCGCCCAAAAGGAAAAACAAGGAAGAACAUUACAUGGCAAGCAAGACUAAAAAAGAUGAGUGUUGUAAUAACUUAUAUAAUUUAUUCCUAAGAGUCAGUAUAAGAUUAUCUUUCACUAAAUCGUCGUGAGAAAGCGUAUUAACGUCUAGGCAUAUGAUUGAGUAUAAUGUGGUGGAAAUGGUUUGGAUCAUCAUCAUCAUCAUGCCUCAUGAGCAACUUCACACUCAUAAAUCCAAUCAGAUGCACAUUGCAAGGAAAAAGCAGAAAGUUAGAGCCCUUGGCCAAUGGUCAUCCUUGUUCCAACCCCCUCCAAUCAACCAAUGACUCGGACAGAAGAGAUUGCGACGUUUUGCGAAGACAACUGUGCGCUCAAUAAAUACGACGUUCCGGCUCAUAGAUCGGAUGGACGAGACACGCGCACCCACCCAAGAUGAUGGGGUUGUUUAGGUUGGAUGAUCUUGAUCUAUCAAGCAAGCCGCUGUGGCCUUGUAGCCAAUAGGGCCAGAGCAGUAGGGUAGGGUAGGGUAGGGUAGGGGAGGAUGGGAGAAAGAACCCCAUUAAAUUGGAUUUGGGGCAGGGACGGUCAUCAGUAUGACCGUCCCUGCACGGUUAAAAAUUUGUGCGGCUGAAAAUUGGCCCUCAAAAUUUUGUGCGGCUGAAAUAACACAAUGUAACUCGAAAUUCGCGCCAAGUGUGGCGCCCAUCACUAUCUGUUGUGAAAAUACAUCCUGUGAAAAAAAAGUUACGCGCAGUUGAACCAAUGUUACGCGCAGUUGAAAUGAGCUAAAAUUGGCAGGGACGGUUGCACCUGCAACCGUCCCUGCCCCGAGUCCCCAUUAAAUUAGAUGUGAAUUACUACAUUACUGCUUUUAAAGUGGAAUUUCCCAAAAUAGAAAGGCCAUCCGCGUGUCCCGGUAUCUGAUGUUGAUGCUGCCCGCCCUUUUAAGGUUGUAAAUCUGACCCGAUUUGUACUCUCCUCUCCGCCGGGGCCCGGGGGGUGAGGGGUCCACAGUACCGUUCAUCAAUUUGCAAAAAAGCUUCGUCUCUCUUCACUCCAAUUCAUUGGUCCCCCACUCAGCUGCACCAUCAUCUCAGCUUCACCUCCCCAAUUGAUUGAAUCUUGGCCAAGCAUAAAUUCUUUUGCUCAAAAUUCAUUUAUUUUGACACGUACUAUUAUAAUAUAACCACAGCGUUGUUUUGCAUUUUCUUGAGAACCCCCCCAGUUUGUUGUGUAUUUUAGAUAAUACCGCUAAUUUCCGGCAUCCGUGUGAAGUGGGCCCUCUCUCGUGGUACUAAUUGCACAACACCACCAUGCACCAUCACCGCAGCAGGGGAAGGGACUAAAAGUAAAAGGAAGAAAAGUAACUUUUUUUUGUUAUCUUUUUGGCCAGAAAUGCCCACUUCACACAAUUUUUGACUGCCAUUGGUGGCAAAGCGUUUGCAUAAAUGGUGUUUGUGAGUGUUUCCUGGAAAACUUUUUUCUGCUGACCACUCAUAUAUGGAAAGUAUUGCAAUUGAGUGAACCAUGUGAAGUGCAAUUUCUUUUGAAGUUUGUCUCUCUCCUGAAAAUCUCUCUCUCUCUCUCUCUUAAAAGUUAAAACCAAACCCAAAAAUCAAACCAAAAAAAAAAAAAAAAAAGGAAAGAAAUUCUUGCUUGUUGAUCACACAAAAAAUUGCAAAUGCGGGGGAAGCACUUUGUAGGGCGUUAUUAAUUUGGCCAAAACUGGCUGAAAACUGCACAAAAUAGAGAAGACAAUAGGAAAAGCUUUGUUGAGCUUGAUCUGUUUGUACAUUUGAUUGACAGUUCAGAGAUCCAAAUUAGAAAAUUAGUACUGCCUAAACGACCACUGUACUGUAACUGAUGAUUCUCAAGAUGAAGGGGCAGUACCCCCCAAAAAAAACCACAAAAAACAACAAAACAAUACAAAAAAAAAUAGAGUACUUGUGGUGGGUUCUCAAAUUAGGAGCUGUUUAAGGUUAAAACCGCUAUUGAUCCUUGAAAGAAAACCGAGAAAUGAUAAUCUCAACCAUGAGGAUGAGGAAUGUUAUUGGCAUGUCUGCAUCAGCCAUGUGGUGUCAUUAAAUUUGCUCAUGUUUUGGAAAGCAACCUCAGAGCCAAGUGACAUGUUACAGCUGCUAACAGCCUUUUUUUUUUUUUUUGGAACCAAACCAUCAUACUUUAUUAUUAGCAGAAUAAGAAUUCAUUUCUCAGGGGUAAGCGUUGGAAUAUAUUGCGUGAAAGGCUAAAAUGUCCUACGAAUGAUCUAUAAGGGUAAUUUUGUCAAAUUAAUAUUUUAUGGCUGCAAGAAAUUCCGCUAUUAAUUUCCCCAAAAAUUCUUGAGAUCUAACACAACUGUAAUUAUCAUUAACGACUUAGUUAACCGUGAAGUGUCUAAUUCGAGACUCUCUCAGAGUCUUCCCUUCCUAACAUUUAAAACCUCCCUUGAACGGUUCAAAAGAAAAAAGAAGAGAUUCUCAAUAAAGGGUUGUUAUCUUUUUGUUCAUUUUUUUUUUUUUACCAAGCAAGUUAAGACUUUUGUGGUAAUAAACUAACCCGAAUCCCGUGAGAACCCCAAAAGCCGGUAUCUCUUGAGGUCUCACAGGGAACUAAUAUACUACCCUAAUCCCCCUAACAACCCCGAUGUGGGAUCUUUUUGUUUAUCAAUUAGAAAAUUUUUAAGAGAGAGAGCGAGAGAGAGAGAAUCUUUCUUUUUCUUCCUUUUUGGGCUAAGGUGUUGGUAAAUGUACGGUGUACGCAAAAUGGUAUGGGUCAUGAGCAUCAAAUACCAGGCCUACAAGUCAUUGCUGGCCCUGGGCUUUAUACAUGCAUAUGAUUUGUACUUAACAUAGAUAAUGGGCUUUGAAUCAUUUGUCCGACCAUCUGAUUAUGCAGUAAAAGCCCAUAUACAAUGUCCAGCUACGUAGAUUGAAAGAUAGCCAGUGAAACAAAAAAGUUGCUUCUGGAAGCCCAUGGAUUCGAUUCCUCGUCCGCCACAAGCCUCGAAAGUGUGUCAUUUUCAAAGGAAACACUUUUUUAUUUUAUCCUCCUCCUCCGGAAAUGUGCGGACUAAAUAUUCCUUAUUCUAAGAACCAUCAGCAAUAUAUAUAUAAGCUUUGGUAGCAGUAAUAUAAUAAGUAUGCCUGGUGCAUGCAAAUGCAGAGGCUUUUUUGCUAUGCGGGGAGAAAUGCUAAAACAAGACUGAAUUUAGAUAAUCGCUUUGUGGAAUAUUAGCACGGCUUCAGAACAAGAAAACUGUAUACCCCGCCCCCGGGGGGGGGGGGCUAUGUACAAUCUUCCAUAACAAAGGAAUAUAUAUAUAUAUAAUGAGUGAUGAUGUCUUCUGCACGCUUAUUCUUGAAGCUCGAACAACAGUAGAAACAUCCAAACUACAUCACAACACAUCAGAAAGUGAAACGACUUCCAUUUCAAAGGUUCUUGUAACAUAACAAAAUUGGACUGCUGCUUCCUAGUCGACUAGUCACUCGCGUGACUGAGUUUCACGCGACACACCAUACUGCACCAUAAAAAAUUCAGCAAGGCUACAUGUAUUUUCCUGAUCAGUUCACCAAUCAGUUAUAAAGGCCUUCGUUCAGGAUGCUCAAUUCUUCGAGUCUGCGACGCUCCUUUACGUGAUUAAUGUAGCUUGUGGCCUUUGUGUCAACUUGUUCAUCUCCACCAAUGCCUGUAGGGCCGUGAACGUAGCCAUCCGAACUAGGAAAGCCUCCGCCUGGCUGUGAGAAAGACUCUGUUUGCACCGCGGCCGAAGAUGCGCGCGGCUCUGGCUCAACCUUUGUAGCAUAUUGCAUCAUAGAUGGUGCAGGUUUAGCAGCUCUGUAGAAAGACAUAACCAGCUUGCUCUUCAGAAGGCUGCCUCCUCCUCCACCUUGCAUCCGGUUGGCGAUCUCCAUUUUGAGUUACAGCACAAAAUUAGAAACUUAUAUACAAUUUACUGGGGGCAGCUCCACUAUUUAUUGGACUGAGGUUGUUAAGAUAAAAAUGAAUCUUCUUGAUGAUCGAUCAGUGGUCCCCUAGCUAAUUACUGCUUUGCAGUCAUAUAAUACUCAAUUAGUUGUAGUUGGAUAUAUUCCUCUUUAUAUUUAAUUCCAGAUUCGGACCCAUUUUCCGAGAUAUGCUUAAUGCAGAAUUGCGUUGGUGGAUUAAAACAUAUCCAAGGAAAGAUUGAGCCGACUGUGGACUUUCUUUAUGCAUGGCUUCCUGCUUCGCUUUUUAUUCUCUGUGUCUAUCCCGUGAUUUGGUACAAGAUCUUGCGUUUGUUUACUUAUUCUUAUUUGUAUGGUGCUAUAGGCCAGGCUCGGUUGGAGCUGCCUUUGACGAACUAUAGUUAGAAAGUACAACUACUAGUUCAGCGCCUUUAACUAAGAUAUACAUCCCUGAUUUCCUGUGGUCCUGGAACACAGCAAUCACCAAUCAGCGCUGCUCGAUGAUGAUGAUGUUUAUCUCAUGCAAACAACCCAAUAUUGUGAUAACGUACUGGAGUUGAUAAUUCAUGCACUAAGAGUGGGGAUCAAGCGAGUUGCCACUCCAAGACCUGCCGUGUAAAUGGCCUGCAUAAGAAGCUUGUUGCUGUGAAUAAAUGUUCAUCAAAGAUAAAACUAAUCAAGAAACUCAACAUAGAAUUAGCCCAUAUAUCAGAGAAUGAAGAAAGUCCCUCCAGAUGAUUGCGUAUGAAACAGACCGCAUUUGCAGAUGAAAUUCUCAGCCUGACCUCCUUUCACAGUUGAUUUUAAUUAACCUAUGUCAUUAUUUCAUUACAAUGAUCCACUAGCAGAAGUGGCAGAAUUACUGUUGUAUGACUUUGUUCUCAAACUCUGUGAGGCUGAGGAGAGAAUUUUCAGUUCAACGGCUGCAUAUCACAUCAGCUUAUGCAUCACAACAGACUAGGAUUAUAAUUUGGAGUUCCACUUUUGGAGAUUGUAAAUCUUCAGCACAGGAUCCUGGGAUACGCAAUUCCAUUUUCUCCAACGACCAUUAGAUAAUUAUACUACUUAAGAUGGGAACAACUGCAUUGAAGUUUUUCUCGUUGCAGAGGGGCUGAAUUACCUGGAAGUGGAGAAAUAAGAAAGUAGGUGAAUGGUGAAAUUUUCAUUUCCUCAACAGGUAUCAAGAAUAGGUCACACAGAUAAAUCUAGCAACAGCAAACAUUCUUAAGAGGGAGGUGAAAAAGAAUUAGUGUCUAGUACAGCAACAGUUUAUUGACGCAGUCAGCACAGUGCAAGCAACGGCAAUUAACGAGAGCUACUCCCACAGGAAUGUUAGAGUCUGCUGAGAUCCACCACUUGUAGAUGACUCUUCAGGUCCAUUCUGAAACAUUUCCUGGAAAUGAAGGGUGGCAUUGUUGCUCACUC